rnacentral:rRNA from 1 species
GACGAACGCUGGCGGCGUGCUUAACACAUGCCAGUCGAACGGAAAGGCCCUUCGGGGUCCUCGAGUGGCGAACGGGUGAGUAACACGUGGGUGAUCUGCCCUGCACUUUGGGAUAAGCCUGGGAAACUGGGUCUAAUACCGAAUAGGACCACGCGCUUCAUGGUGUGUGGUGGAAAGCUUUUGCGGUGUGGGAUGGGCCCGCGGCCUAUCAGCUUGUUGGUGGGGUAAUGGCCUACCAAGGCGACGACGGGUAGCCGGCCUGAGAGGGUGACCGGCCACACUGGUACUGAGAUACGGCCCAGACUCCUACGGGAGGCAGCAGUGGGGAAUAUUGCACAAUGGGCGCAAGCCUGAUGCAGCGACGCCGCGUGAGGGAUGACGGCCUUCGGGUUGUAAACCUCUUUCAAUAGGGACGAAGCGCAAGUGACGGUACCUAUAGAAGAAGCACCGGCCAACUACGUG